GCCGGUGUGGUGUAAUGGUUUGAGUGUCGGAUUACAACCCUGGAGGCCAGGGUUCGAACCCCUACUUCAGCA